rnacentral:rRNA from 1 species
UAGGCGUAAAUGAUGCGAGUUAAGUGUGGGGGCGAUCUACGAGAUGGCCCUGUGCUGUAGGGUAGCCGUUAAACUCGCUGCCUGGGGAGUACGGUCGCAAGGCUGAAACUUAAAGGAAUUGGCGGGGGGAGGCACCACAAGAGGUGGAGGCUGCGGUUCAAUUGGACUCAACGCCGGAAACUCAUCGGGAGCGACAGCAGUAUGAUUGCCAGGUUGAUGACCUUGCUUGACAAGCUGAGAGGAGGUGCAUGGCGUAGUCGUGU